CAGCAGCUGUGUGACAGAUGUUCAGACAAUUGACAAAGCAUUUGGUGACCAGUCUGUUUUUACAAUAACAUAUAAGUGAUUUACCUGAUGUCUUGCGGAUAAUGUUAGAAAUCCUGACAUAAUGGAUAUCAUGAUUUGCUGUAUAUGUCACCAUGCAGUUGAAGACAACCAAGGCUCUAAACUUACAGUAAAAGGAUGCAGAGGAAUAAAUGAUGCUAGCUAGAAGAGACAGGAUAAUGUUCAGGCUGUUCCAGGAAAUUUUGUUCACAUUGCAUGUCGAAAGACGUACACAUGCUAAUGUUAUUGUUCGCGAUACAAAAGAAAACCUUAGUCCAAACACAAGAUUUGUGAGGUCUAAAGCUGAUGUAUUGAAUUUUCAAGAACAUUGUAUAUUUUGUGGUCAUUCUGCUAAAUACAAUGACAGAAAACGCGGUUUGGAUGU